AGAGUUUGAUCCUGGCUCAGGAUGAACGCUGGCGGUGUGUCUAAGGCAUGCAAGUCGAACGAUUCACUUCGGUGAAGAGUGGCAAACGGGUGAGUAACACAUUGGUAACCUACCUCUCAGACGACCAUAACUCGAAGAAAUUUGAGCUAAUAGUCGAUGGUCUCAUAUGACAUAUGUUGUAUGAGUAAAACUCCGGUGCUGAGAGAGGGGCCUAUGGCCUAUCAGCUUGUUGGUGGUGUAAAAGACUACCAAGGCAACGACGGGUAGCGGGUGUGAGAGCAUGACCCGCCUCAAUGGGACUGAGACACUGCCCAUACUCCUACGGGAGGCUGCAGUCGAGAAUCUUCCGCAAUGCGCGAAAGCGUGACGGAGCGACACCGCGUGGUCGAAGAAGCACUUCGGUGUGUAAAGACCUUUUACCAGGGAUGAACGAUGACAGUACCUGGAGAAUAAGGGGCUGCUAAACUCGUGCCAGCAGCAGCGGUAAUACGAGUGCCCCAAGCGUUAUCCGGAUUUAUUGGGCGUAAAGCGUGUCCAGGUGGUUUGGUAAGUAACUUGUCAAAUCUCAAGGCUCAACUUUGAGACUGCGAGUUAAACUACUAAACUAGAGAACGGGAGAGGCAAACGGAAUGGCCGGUGUAGCAGUAAAAUGCGUUAAUAUCGGUUGGAACACCAAAGGCGAAGGCAGUUUGCUGGAACGUUUCUGACACUCACACACGAAAGCGUGGGUAGCGAAUGGGAUUAGAUACCCCAGUAGUCCACGCCGUAAACGAUGGAUACUAAAUGUUGGCAGUAUCGACCCUGCCAGUGUUGUCUACCUAAGUUAACACCUUAAGUAUCCCGCCUGUGGAGUACGGCCGCAAGGCUAAAACACAAAGGAAUUGACGGGGAUCCGCACAAGCGGUGGAGCAUGUGGUUUAAUUCGACAGUAAGCGAGGAACCUCACCAAGGUUUGACAUCUAGCUGCAAAUCCUCAGAAACGAGGACUUCUUCGAGAGUGCUAGACAGGUGCUGCAUGGUUGUCGUCAGCUCGUGUCGUGAGACGUAUGGUUAAGUCCCUUAACGAGCGCAACCCUCGUCCUAUGUUACUAAUUUCAUAGGAGACUGCCUUGGAUAACAAGGAGGAAGGUGAGGACGACGUCAAAUCAGCAUGGCUCUUACACCUUGGGCUACACACGUGCUACAAUGGCCGGUACAAAGGGGCGCGAAGCGGAAACGUGGAGCAAAUCCCAUCAAAGCCGGUCCCAGUUCGGAUUGAGGUCUGCAACUCGACCUCAUGAAGUUGGAAUCGCUAGUAACCGUGAAUCAGCCUCGUCACGGUGAAUACGUUCUCGGAUCUUGUACACACCGCCCGUCAAGGCAAGGAAGCCGGUAAUACCCGAAUGUCUAGUUUAUCUGGGCAGAAGGUAGGAUUGGUGACAGGGCUUAAGUCGUAACAAGGUAACC
rnacentral:rRNA from 1 species